CCUACGGGGAGCAGCAGUGGGGAAUAUUGGACAAUGGGCGAAAGCCUGAUCCAGCCAUGCCGCGUGUGUGAAGAAGGCCUUCGGGUUGUAAAGCACUUUCAGUGGGGAAGAAAGCCUUGGGGCUAAUACCCUCGAGGAAGGACAUCACCCACAGAAGAAGCACCGGCUAACUCCGUGCCAGCAGCCGUGGUAAUACGGAGGGUGCGAGCGUUAAUCGGAAUUACUGGGCGUAAAGCGCGCGUAGGCGGUCUGAUAAGCCGGUUGUGAAAGCCCCGGGCUCAACCUGGGAACGGCAUCCGGAACUGUCAGGCUAGAGUGCAGGAGAGGAAGGUAGAAUUCCCGGUGUAGCGGUGAAAUGCGUAGAGAUCGGGAGGAAUACCAGUGGCGAAGGCGGCCUUCUGGACUGACACUGACGCUGAGGUGCGAAAGCGUGGGUAGCAAACAGGAUUAGAUACCCUAGUAGUC
rnacentral:rRNA from 1 species